UCAUCAUUGUUAGCCAACACAAUAUCGCAUCGUAUUUAUUCAAUCCAAUAUAUAUUCUAACAUGUAUUCGGAGAUAAUGUUCCACCAGUAGUCUACUCUACGCUGUGGGCUAACGGUACUCAAAAGAAGAACUCGGGUGUAAAUAGUUUAACAAUGAAGCUGAUCUCCAUGACAAACAGCCCAACAGCAGCCCGGUGUCACCGUCGCCAUAGUCACCGUGUUGGUCCUUUAAGUCGACGCGUGCAGGAGUUUCAAAACAAGACAAACACAGACAGCAACAGGAUUUACAUUUGAACAUUUCUCUAAAAUGCCCAAAGGAGGGAAGGGAUAUUCUUCCGCGAGCAAUGAUGGCAAAUGGGUAAGCGUCUGAAAACAACAAAUCACAUUCACAGAUCACUGAGUAAACUACACUGAGCCCUCUUCCUCCUCCCCCAGUAUGCCCAUGACACAGGGUUCAAAGAAGCGUGCACCAUCACUGGGACCAUGCUGGGGCAGGUUGUAUCGUCUGGGCCGCAAGAACUACGAGUUGAACGUCAUCUCAAGUCGAAAAAGCAGGAUCCUCCUGAUUUUCGAUUCUCGACCCACGACAACAGAGAAGCGAUACGAGACGGGAUCUGCCUCUUUUCUCAGGGUCUUGGGCGCAAGAAGUGUCCAGAUGACCACAGACAGCACAACUCUCACUUCUGCCUGUGCCACGAUGAUCCUGUGGCAGUAAGUUGGCCGUCGACCGCGGGGGACCUCACGGCCUACCAGACUGAAGGCUUAGUGAGGAAGGACCAGGCAGAGGCCGUCACCAACAGGCGUUUCCCCCGCAGCCAUCAGGAGAAGUCAGCAGAGGCCGCCGCGGCCCAGGCCAGGGAACCUGCUUUCAUGUGGUUUGGACGACACGACUCAGAGGACUCUGUGCCCCUUGGGGUCCUUGCAGCUACUAACUGCUUAGCCACGCGAAUAUAAGCCGCGGUUUCUUGCAUCAUUACAUUGUAAGCUCUCCCUUAGUAAGAGGGGAGUAAUUGAACGUGUUUCUAUUUUUUAUUUUUAUUUUUUUGCCAGCAGAGGGCAGCAUAUAUUCUAGUUUAAAUCUGCGAGCAAAUUGGGAUGAAAUGGAUAUCAAUGGUUUGGUCUUGGUUCGUUCCUUUCAAACCGCAUACUAUGUAGGCAUAGCAAUAACCAUUAAACAAUGCGCCAUCAAGUGAUUAAGCAAGAGUAAGCAAGUGAUAACGUCCACUUAUAGAAUGAAUUGGGAGUUAUUUGAGCUAAAGGCCUAUAUGUAUAGAUUUUUGUCACCAAUCGAUUGCACAUUAAAAGCCCUGUUGAAAUGGAAAAAAGUAAAUGAUUUCCACAUGGACUUUCAACCACCCUGUAAAUCGUCAGUGCUUGCAUAUAUUUAUCUCACUCACACACACACACACACACACACACACACACACACACACACACACACACACACACACACACACACACACACACACACACACACACACACACACACACACACACACACACACAUAGGUUCAGCAAAACUGCUGCUUCCAUAGAGUGAUCUCCUAAUCCAGUAGGUUGGUGACCUAUGCCAUGGUAGGAAGUCAAGGAUUUGGUUAUUUGAGACACAGAAAUACAAGGUGAAAAUAAAUAAG
rnacentral:lncRNA from 1 species